rnacentral:rRNA from 1 species
UACGUAGGGGGCAAGCGUUGUUCGGAAUUACUGGGCGUAAAGGGCGCGUAGGCGGCAUGGCAAGUCGGGAGUGAAAGCCCGGGGCUCAACCCCGGAACUGCUUUCGAAACUGCCAAGCUAGAGUGCGGAAGAGGCAACUGGAAUUCCCAGUGUAGCGGUGAAAUGCGUAGAUAUUGGGAAGAACACCGGAGGCGAAGGCGGGUUGCUGGGCCGACACUGACGCUGAACCGCGAAAGCCAGGGGAGCGAACGGG